rnacentral:rRNA from 1 species
GACGAACGCUGGCGGCGUGCCUAACACAUGCAAGUCGAACGGAAAGGCCCUGCUUUUGUGGGGUGCUCGAGUGGCGAACGGGUGAGUAACACGUGAGUAACCUGCACUUGUCUUUGGGAUAAAUUCACGGAACUGGGGCGAAUACCGGAUAGGAGCUCCUGCUGCAUGGGGGGGGUUGGAGAGUUUCGGCGGUUGUGGAUGGACUCGCGGCUUAUCAGCUUGUUGGUGGGGUAGUGGCGUCCCAAGGCUUUGAAGGGUAGCCGGCCUGAGAGGGUGACCAGCCACAAUGGGACUACGAUACGGCCCAGACUCCUACGGGAGGCAACAGGGGGGAGUAUUGCACAAUGGGCGGACGCCUGAUGCAGAAGCGCCGCGUGCGUGAUAACGUCUUUCUGGGUGUAAACCUCUUUGGCCUGUGCCGAGGCGAGAUUGACGGUAAUUAGUAAAGAAGCACCGGCUAACUACGUG